rnacentral:rRNA from 1 species
UUAUAUGAGAGUUUGAUCCUGGCUCAGGACGAACGCUGGCGGCGUGCCUAAUACAUGCA